UACGUAGGGGGCAAGCGUUGUCCGGAAUCAUUGGGCGUAAAGAGCGUGUAGGCGGUUCGGUAAGUCCGCUGUAAAAGUCCAGGGCUCAACCCUGGAAAGCCGGUGGAAACUGUCGAACUGGAGUCCGGAAGAGGCGAGUGGAAUUCCUGGUGUAGCGGUGAAAUGCGCAGAUAUCAGGAGGAACACCAAUGGCGAAGGCAGCUCGCUGGGACGGUACUGACGCUGAGACGCGAAAGCGUGGGGAGCAAACAGG
rnacentral:rRNA from 1 species